UUUUUUUUUGAGGUCGACUGGUCGACUUUGUCUUCAACAGGAUUAGUGGGGGCACGCUGAGUGCACCCACUGGGUGUAGUCCCCGAGACUACGGUCGAAUGCUUGUAUUUGGCUGUAGUCUUAGAAACGUGUGUUUAUCCCUUUUUCACUCGGAAGUGAAUUAUAUUUGACAUUUAGUCGAUUGGUUCUUCACAGAACUCCUGUGAUCUUGUGGCUCGCUACUCAGAGCUGGAACAAAAACAUACUCAAGUCGAGCUGAGCUUGAAGCUGGUUCAGGAGAAGCUGACAAAGGCAAAGGAGGAGACCGAAGGUAUGUUUGGUGAGACCCUGACGACUGCUUUUCCCCUUGCUUGUUUCAGCAUCUGAUCUUGCUGUAACUUGCAGGUAAGGUAAGGGAGGCCCAGCAGAAGAAAGACCUUGAGCUAGCUGAGAAGAUCAAGCUCGCUGACGAGAAGUUGGCUUCAGUCACCAAGCUCGAACAAGACAAUACCAAUCUGAAAGCUGCUCUUGGGAUUGCCAACAAGGAGGUCAGUCGACUGAAAACUGACAAAGCUGCCCUGACCGACCAAGUCAGCAAAUUGACUGAGAAGAAAACUGAACUGGAGGCCUUCCUGAGUGGCCUUGCCAAGAAGUUGUUCCUUAUGCUUGAAGGUAGACCUCCACGUUUGGCAAAUAUUUCCAAUUGUGGCUUUUUCCAUUCGACUAUCUCCUUGACUUAGUGAUCACCCUUGCAGAAUUUUGUCAAAACUUUGAAGAAGAAACCAGCCGACUGGAGCCAAACCUUGACCCCGUCAAUUCUCCGGUGAACGACGAAGUUGCCAUGGAUGUUUUCCGACUGGAGUCUCGUGUUGCAGCUGUCGUGGACUAUCUCGCAAGGCUGAAGGCCGCCACAUCUCGCAUCGACUCGACGCUCUGGCCUGAGGAGACACUUCAGAAUGACCUUGAGUCGCUGAUGGCCCGCUUGAACACGAUCCCUGGUCGAGUGCAGGAGUGGAAGAAGUCCUCGGCUCGGUGUGGUGCAGAUGUUGCUCUGUGUCUGGCCCGAGUCCACUGCAAAGAUGCGCGAGAAGAGAAGCUGGCGGCCCUUCGGGUGGCCAAUACCAAGAAGCACGACUUCAGAUCCUUUAUGGAAACUUUCCUUGCAGCUGCCACUCGGAUCGCCGACGGGAUUGACCUUGAUGAAUUUGUUGCACCUUCCAGCCCUCCACAGGAGGGGUAAAAAACUUCUUCUGGCUCGACGCUUUAAAUUUGCCUCGGUAUGCCGAGUGAAAUUGUAACCGACAAACCUUAACAGGCUUGACGUCUGAGCACUUUCGGUUCCUUUAGAUGUCGAUUCAAACUUGGAUUUGGUGCUUGAAUACGAUUGCCUUCGGCUCGGAAUGUCUUUUGUAGGUUCAAAGCAAGGUGCCUUAGGCGAGCGCUUGGACUGCAGCUAAGCCCUCGAGUGAGAGGGUUGCUCUUCACUCGGUAGGAUUUUCACAACUUAGGCGAGUGCUUGGACUGCAGCUAAGCCCCCGAGUGGAAGGCUGGCUUACCACUCGGUAGGAUUUUGAUAACUUAGGCGAGUGCUUGGACUGCAGCUAAGCCCCCGAGUGAGAGGGUUGCUCUUCACUCGGUAGGAUUUUUAUAACUUAGGCGAGCACGAGGCUGCAGCUAAGCCUCCGAGUGGAAGGCUGGUUUACCACUCGGUAGGAUUUUGAUAACUUAGGCGAGCACGAGGCUGCAGCUAAGCCUCCGAGUGGAAGGCUGGCUUACCACUCGGUAGGAUUUUGAUAACUUAGGCGAGCANNNNNNNNNNNNNNNNNNNNNNNNNNNNNNNNNNNNNNNNNNNNNNNNNNNNNNNNNNNNNNNNNNNNNNNNNNNNNNNNNNNNNNNNNNNNNNNNNNNNUUCGUUUAUGUGUCCGUCGUCAACACUGAGAGUUUUGGCCAAUUCUGACGGGUUUCGUGGACUAUUACUCACGGUUUUGGGGUCCCGAAGCAAUUUCCAUAGUUGUUGAACUCCAAGGUGUGCUUACGUGUUGGUCAUCAACACUCGCAGUUUUGGUUGAUUCUGGCCCGUUUCAUGGACUAUUACUCACCGUUUUGGGGUCCCGAAGCGAUUUCCAUGGUUGUCGAACUCCAAGGUGCGCUUACGUGUCGGUCAUCAACAAUCACAGUUUGGGCCGAUUCUGGCCCGUUUCUUGGACUACUACUCUAUUUUGGGGUCUCGGAGCCAUUUCCAUGAUUGACGAACCCCAGGGCGCGUUUACGUGUCGGUGAUCAACAAUCACAUAUUCGGUCGAUUCUAGUCCGUUUUGUGCACUAUCACUCAGCGUUUUGGGGACCUAGAGCAAUUUCCACGAUCGAUGAACCCCGGGGUUCGUUUAUGUGUCCGUCAUCAACACUGAGAGUUUUGGCCAAUUCUGACGGGUUUCGUGGACUAUUACUCACCGUUUUGGGGUCCCGAAGCGAUUUCCAUAGUUGUUGAACUCCAAGGUGUCCUUACGUGUUGGUCAUCAACACUCGCAGUUUUGGCCGAUUCUGGCCCGUUUCAUGGACUAUUACUCACCGUUUUGGGGUACCAAAGCGAUUUCCAUAGUUGUCGAACUCCAAGGUGCGCUUACAUGUCGGUCAUCAACAAUCACAGUUUGGGCCGAUUCUGGCCCGUUUCUUGGACUACUACUCUAUUUUGGGGUCUCAGAGUCAUUUCCAUGAUUGACGAACCCCAGGGUGCGUUUACGUGUCGAUCAUCAACACUCACAUAUUUGGCCGAUUCUAGUCCGUUUUGUGCACUAUCACUCAAUGUUUUGGAGACCUAGAGCAAUUUCCACGAUUGAUGAACCCCAGGGUGCAUUUAUGUGUCUGUCGUCAACACUGAGAGUUUUGGCCAAUUCUGACGGGUUUCGUGGACUAUUACUCACAGUUUUGGGGUCCCGAAGCGAUUUCCAUAGUUGUUGAACUCCAAGGUGUGCUUACGUGUUGGUCAUCAACACUCCCAGUUUUGGCCGAUUCUGACCGUUUCAUGGACUAUUACUCACCGUUUUGGGGUCCCAAAGCGAUUUCCAUGGUUGUCGAAUUCCAAGGUGCGCUUACAUGUCGGUCAUCAACAAUCACAGUUUGGGCCGAUUCUGGCCCGUUUCUUGGACUAUUACUCUAUUUUGGGGUCUUGGAGUCAUUUCGAUGAUUGACGAACCCUUGGUGCGUUUACGUGUCGGUGAUCAACACUCACAUAUUUGGCCGAUUCUAGUCCGUUUUGUGCACUAUCACUCAGCAUUUUGGGGACCUAGAGCAAUUUCCAGAUCGAUGAACCCCGGGGUUCAUUUAUGUGUCCGUCGUCAACACUGAGAGUUUUGGCCAAUUCUGACGUGUUUCGUGGACUAUUACUCACCGUUUUGGGGUCCCGAAGCGAUUUCCAUAGUUGUUGAACCCUAAGGUGUCCUUACGCGUUGGUCAUCAACACUCGCAGUUUUGGCCGAUUCUGGCCCGGUUCAUGGACUAUUACUCACCGUUUUGGGGUCCCAAAGCGAUUUCCAUGGUUGUCGAAUUCCAAGGUGCGCUUACGUGUCGGUCAUCAACAAUCACAGUUUGGGCCAAUUCUGGCCCGUUUCUUGGACUAUUACUCUAUUUUGGGGUCUUGGAGUCAUUUCGAUGAUUGACGAACCCUUGGUGCGUUUACGUGUCGGUGAUCAACACUCACAUAUUCGGNNNNNNNNNNNNNNNNNNNNNNNNNNNNNNNNNNNNNNNNNNNNNNNNNNNNNNNNNNNNNNNNNNNNNNNNNNNNNNNNNNNNNNNNNNNNNNNNNNNNCGAAUCCACUGUCGAGUGCUCAGCAGCCUUCCCUCUUCACGACUCACCACGUCCCAGAGGACCAAGCUGGUGCAGCGAAGGAGGCAAUACGCCAGGCGGGGCUCAUGAUGGAGCAGCUGAAGACCAUCCGGGAUGCGAGCCAGGCAGCUUAUGACGCCAGCUCUGCCCUCCAAAGCAAUGUCCAGGUCAGUCGACUGCUGUUUGUUCUGUUGGAUAUGCUACCAGAAGCUUUUCUUUUCCGGGAUUUAUAUUAGCCACCCAGUGGGUGUGUUGAAUAAACACCGUGUUAGCGGGGGCACGCUGAGUGCACCCGCUGGGUGUAGUCCCCAAGGCUAAGGUCGACUGCUGGCAGUCGGCCUUAGGCUUUAUGAUAUCAAUCUUUCUGUCAGUCGACUGGUCGACUGGAUUUCGCAAACCGGUGGGGGCACGCUGAGUGCACCCACUGGGUGUAGUCCCCAAGGCUGAGGUCGACUGCUGGCAGUUGAUCACAGUCUUAGAGAAUGUGUCUUGCACACUGUUUUUUUUUAAGGUCGACUGGUCGACUUUGUUUUCGACAGGAUUAGUGGGGGCACGCUGAGUGCACCCACUGGGUGUAGUCCCCGAGACUACGGUCGAAUGCUUGUAUUUGGCUGUAGUCUUAGAAACGUGUGUUUUUCCCUUUUUCACUCGGAAGUGAGUUACGUUUGACGUUUAGUCGAUUGGUUCUUCGCAGAACUCCUGUGAUCUUGUGGCUCGCUACUCAGAGCUGGAACAGAAGCAUACUCAAGUCGAGCUGAGCUUGAAGCUGGUUCAGGAGAAGCUGGCAAAGGCAAAGGAGGAGACCGAAGGUAUGUUUGGUGAGACCCUGAUGACUGCUUUUUCCCUUGCUAGUUUCAGCAUCUGAUCUUGCUGUAACUUGCAGGUAAGGUAAGGGAGGCCCAGCAGAAGAAAGACCUUGAGCUAGCUGAGAAGAUCAAGCUUGCUGACGAGAAGUUGGCUUCAGUCACCAAGCUCGAACAAGACAAUACCAAUCUGAAAACUGCUCUUGGGAUUGCCAACAAGGAGGUCAGUCGACUGAGAACUGACAAAGCUGCCCUGACCGACCAAGUCAGCAAAUUGACUGAGAAGAAAACUGAACUGGAAACCUUCCUGAGUGGCCUUGCCAAGAAGCUGUUUCUUAUGCUUGAAGGUAAAUCUUCAUGUUUGGCAAAUAUUUCCAAUUGUGGCCUUUUCCAUUCGACUAUCUCUUUGACUUAAUGAUCAUCCUUGCAGAAUUUUGUCAAAACUUUGAAGAAGAAACCAGCUGACUGGAGCCAAACCUUGACCCCGUCAAUUCUCCGGUGAACGACGAAGUUGCCAUGGAUGUCUUCCGACUGGAGUCGCGUGUUGCAGCUGUCGUGGACUAUCUCGCAAGGCUGAAGGCCGCCACAUCUCGCAUCGACUCGACGCUCUGGCCUGAGGAGACACUUCAGAAUGACCUUGAGUCGCUGAUGGCCCGCUUGAACACGAUCCCUGGUCGAGUGCAAGAGUGGAAGAAGUCCUCGGCUCGGUGUGGUGCAGAUGUCGCUCUGUGUCUGGCCCGAGUCCACUGCAAAGAUGCACGAGAGGAGAAGCUGGCGGCCCUUCGGGUGGCCAAUACCAAGAAGCACGACUUCAGGUCCUUUAUGGAGACUUUCCUUGCAGCUGCCACUCGGAUCGCCGACGGAAUUGACCUUGAUGAAUUCGUUGCACCUUCCAGCCCUCCGCAGGAGGGGUAAAAAACUUCUUCUGGCUCGACUCUUUAAAUUUGCCUCGGUAUGCCGAGUGGAAUUGUAACCNNNNNNNNNNNNNNNNNNNNNNNNNNNNNNNNNNNNNNNNNNNNNNNNNNNNNNNNNNNNNNNNNNNNNNNNNNNNNNNNNNNNNNNNNNNNNNNNNNNNUGCCCGCCGCCGCUGCGUGGCCCCUACGGGCCGUAGCGCUGCGGCCCACGGUCCACUCCGCCGUCACCGCGCGUCGACCUCCCGUGGUAUGCGCUGCGCCUUCUCCCUUGGCGCGGGAACGCCACCGUCCGUGCUGGUCUUUGUCACGCUGUCAGGUUCUUCACCUACUUUGAGCACCGCCGCCGCGCUCCUACCCUAGCCGCCGCCGCCGCCGUCAGGCCGCCGCCGCUCUUCUUUGGCCGCCGCCGCCGCUACCCCCGUAGCCGCCGCAGCCGCCCGUCCACCCCCUUCAUCUUCGUCCAGCACCAGCCCGUCGCCAGCGUCGCCGUUAUCUACAGCGACCACUUCGUCUACUCCGACAACUGCGGGCAACAUCGGCCCCGCGCUGAUUGGCGCCACAACCGUCGUCGAGUCCUUCUCUGCUGGCCUCUCCGACUUCUCCGACAUGGCGUACAGCUCGUGCAGGUCCUUGUCUAUGCAUGCCCCGUGCUGGCAACACCGCUACGUGCCUUCGUCCAUGACGUGUCCCCGGGCCUGGCAAGCCUGGUGCGACGCUUCAUCAACUUCGUCUUCGUCCGUCUACGCAUGCCCGGUGCGGGCAACACCGACGCCUGCCUUCGUCUAUGAUGUGUCCCCGGGGUUGGCAACCCCGGCGCGACGCGUCGUCAACAUCAUCUACUUCCUGGCGCACCACUACUUCGACACCACUGCGCCCACGACUAAAUCGGCACCUCCUUGCGCCCGCGGCUCCACGGCGACUUCCUCGACAACGUCUACCCAGACUCGACAUCGACCACGGCAUUCUUCGUACGGCUACCUCGACCAUGGCUCCACCACCCACGCUCUCGGCUACAUCGACAAACGGCACAAAGGGCUAUCGCCUUGCUUGAGCAACCUCGUCGGUUGCCACUCCAGCCACGACUCCACGAUGCGUCGACCGUUACGACUGUGUGGGGGGGGGGGGUGUCCGUCGGCUUGCCUUUGGAUUCUUCUCCAGUCUCACUGUCUGCGUCGCUACUGUUGUGACUGCGGGGGAUGUUGAGUAUAUUGAUUCUUUAGGAAACAUAAGAUAGACUAGGAUUUGUCCUGCCUUGUCUUGUACUCCAAGAUGAUCAUGUACUCCUAUAUAUAUGCCCACGAGGCUCAAGCAAUACAACGAACUAUUCCAUCAAACCUCUCUCUCCCUUCUAACAGAUUGCAUGGGUUGAGAAGUUAAUUAUCACACUGAGGUAAGUAGACAAAAAACUUAUGUAUCCCAAAGCCAUGCAUUUGUUUCCAAAUUGCUCAUAUUUUCCGCUUGAUCUCAAAGAAUCGGGUGUGGAUGGUGUCGAAGUCCUGCCGAUGUCAACUUACACCAAAGUGCACUAACAUCGACUCAAAUUAUUUUAGGCAUUGCCAUCAAUUCUAGUUGCACAUGGAUCAGACACGGAGGUUUUUUCCUUUGGCAUAACGUGCAUGUAACGUCAUACCUUUGUAGAGAGGAACAAAGGUGUUGUCUUUCUAGACUUGUAUAGAAUCUGGAGAGCUUUGGGGAAACUUCCUAGGAACUAGUUGAGUAUUAGGGUUUGAAGCUUUAUAUCUUUUCGACAGUGUACAAGUUUACAGGUAGAUACAUAGCGAUACAUGGUAUGGAGAUCUUAGCUGGUGAAUUGUGACAUUUACCUUGUUUCUAUUUGUGCUUCUUGAUGGGCACAUUCUUUGCAAGACCUAUGUCUACUAUUUCAGGUCUACCUCACCUUGGUGCCAAUAAGGAUUUCUAUAGUUGUUGCACAUAUGCAUAUUUAGGGAACCUUGGUNNNNNNNNNNNNNNNNNNNNNNNNNNNNNNNNNNNNNNNNNNNNNNNNNNNNNNNNNNNNNNNNNNNNNNNNNNNNNNNNNNNNNNNNNNNNNNNNNNNNGUUUGUGUCCAACGACCAGACCAAGACCGCUUCCGGAUCCCCACCAUUAUCAAUACCUCAUAUAUAUUUGCAAUAUUCAGAUUGCUUUAUCAUAUUCUUGCUCGUUCUUCGAUUGCUUGCAGGAAUAGACCUUCGUGGUCAGGCUGACCGUGCUUCCGGCCUCGUCAGUAACCUCAGGAGAUUGGUUUAGCGAUUGCUAAGGCGCAACGUCGUGCACGUUUGUAGUCGGAUCGUCAAAGUCGUCUCCACCAAAUCGAUAGUUAUCAUCUCAUCGAAAGAUCGGGACACCCCCGCCUCUAUCAAGUGGUAUCAGUUUUCAUGUUGCUCGGUGAGAAUUUCCAGUUUUUCCUAGAUUAGAUUUAUUUUCUUACCUAUUGUCCAAGAAAAAGCCACAAAACAAAAGUUAGAUCUAUUCAUCCUUUGUCCUAGCCAGACUGAGCCUUUGCAAUUUUCUUUUCAUUGUUUGCAUUAUUGAAUUAUCGGUUGCAUCGCCGUGUCGAGUUGCUGGUCUUAGUGUCUAGUUCCUUUAGAGUUUCGAGUUCUGUUCACAUUAGUCACGCAGCCGCUGCAUCAUUAUCCCAUCCGCUGUCCACCAUCCAAUCCACCAAUUUCCACCACGUGCUACGCACUGUUUAUUGUCAUAAUCAUAGUUGAGGUCACUCACAUCUUCGCCUGAUCGAAUCUGCAUCUUAUCUAGUUUGUCUUGGAAAGAGGGAGAAAAAGAAGAUAAGGAAAAAAAAGAGAGAAAAAAGGAAAGAAAAAAAAGAAAAAGAGGGAGAAGAAAAAGAAAAAAAAAGCGUGAAAAAAGAGAGAGAAGAAAAAAAAUUGGAUCUAUCUAGAAUCAAUCUCGUACCUGAAUUCGGAUUGGAAUCUGUUUUGUGCACUGUUCAGUAAAACAGCUUGGCUAUUGUUUCACAUAAUUAUCUUUACUGCCGUUGUGAUCUUCACUUAUAUCUUGCUGUCCAGAGCUACUUUGUAUCCUUCAUUGAUGCUGGUUGUGCUACGACGUGACCUCAUUAGUGUUCUAGGCUCGCGUCUCUAGUCCGGUCUAGCCUAGGACCAGCACAGUACCGUCGUUGAGCGUUUAUUCAACAUUGCAUCUUUGAAUUGAUUAUUGCUAAUCUUUUGCUACCAUAAUAGCCAACCCAGCUCCACAUAUUUCUACACCGUGUAUACGUACGCUCCCGUGGCAAUCGCUUUACUCAAUAUUCAGAGUUACUUGACACCGCUGGUUGCCGAUCACCGCCUGCUGCAUGGUAAGAACUUGUAAGACAUUGAUAUUUGCUUUACUGUGAGCGUUUUACCACCGCAUCCUAGUAGUUAUAGGAACAUUAUUUUUGGGUUUUGUUUCUUGUUCUACUAAUCAUGACAGGAUCCAGAGUCAAUUCAUGGGCUUUGUCGAUCGCGGGAGACGUGCCACCACCUUUGCAAAUACCACAACCGUCACGAGAGGUGCACAAACAUCCAAAUGCACAUGAUCAAGUUAAUGUAUCUAUACCACCAUUUAAUGGCCGUUUUAAACCUGCUUUAUAUAUUGAAUGGGAGUUCGACAUAAAAAAUAUAUUUGCUUCCCAUAAUUUCGAUGAACAUAAAAAGGUUAAGGUUGCGGUUGGUUCUUUCACUGGUUAUGCUUUGGUUUGGUGGAGUGAAUAUUGUCGGUUACACCCUGAUUAUAUACCUACUACUUGGGAUGAUUUGAAACUUGCCAUGCGACAUACUUUCGUCCCUGCUUAUUAUACUCGUGACAUGAUUAAGAAGUUGCAACACUUAAAACAAGGUAGUGAAACUGUAACAAANNNNNNNNNNNNNNNNNNNNNNNNNNNNNNNNNNNNNNNNNNNNNNNNNNNNNNNNNNNNNNNNNNNNNNNNNNNNNNNNNNNNNNNNNNNNNNNNNNNNUGUCAUGAUUAGUAGAACAAGAAACAAAACCCAAAAAUAAUGUUCCUAUAACUACUAGGAUGUGGUGGUAAAACGCUCACAGUAAAGCAAAUAUCAAUGUCUUACAAGUUCUUACCAUGCAGCAGGCGGUGAUCGGCAACCAGCGGUGUCAAGUAACUCCGAAUAUUGAGUAAAGCGAUUGCCAGGGGAGCGUACGUAUACACGGUGUAGAAAUAUGUGGAGCUGGGUUGGCUAUAUAUGGUAGCAAAAGAUUAGCAAUAAUCAAUUCAAAGAUGCAAUGUUGAAUAAACGCUCAACGACGGUACUGUGCUGGUCCUAGGCUAGACCGGACUAGAGACGCGAGCCUAGAACACUAAUAAGGUCAUGGCGUAGCACAACUAGCAUCAAUGAAGGAUAGUAAGUAGCUCUUGACAGCAAGAUAUAAGUGAAGAUCACAACGGCAGUGAAGAUAAUGAUGAAAAACAACUGCCAAGCAGGAUAUACAACAACUCUCUCUCCAACUUUCCUCUUGAAAAGUUUGAGACAAUUUUCUGAUAAAUUCUUUCAAAGAAUGCUACUAACUCAAGCUUUCCAAUGCAAAAAGAAUCACUCAAUUCUGAGUUGAUAUGAGGAGUCAAAGAAUUCUAAAACUGGCCUGAAAAAUUGGAACAAGUUGUGUUCACGAACUUCGGAGGGCAAAAAGACCUAUUUAGAAGCCGAUUUUGAGGUGUCAAAUAUUGAACUAGCUUCUGAAACUAUUUAGAUGCGGCUCGUUGCUAGCUUCAAUUUGAGUACUCACGGAGCCAAAACGGACUUCGUAUGAGGAAGAUACACCUGUUUUACUGAACAGUGCGCAAAACAGAUUCCAAUCCGAAUUCAGGUACGAGAUUGAUUCUAGAUAGAUCCAAUUUUUUUUUCUUCUCUCUUUUUUUUCUCACGCUUUUUUUUCUUUUUCUUCUCUCUCUUUUUCUCUUUUUUUUUCUUUCCUUUUUUCUCUCUUUUUUUUCUUUAUCUUCUUUUUCUCCCUCUUUCCAAGACAAACUAGAUAAGAUGCAGAUUCGAUCAGGCGAAGAUGUGAGUGACCUCAACUAUGAUUAUGACAAUAAACAGUGCGUAGCACAUGGUGGAAAUUGGUGGAUGGGAUGAUGGACAGCGGAUGGGAUAAUGAUGCAGCAGCUGCGUGACUAAUGUGAACAGAACUCGAAACUCUAAAGGAACUAGACACUAAGACCAGCAACUCGACACGGCGAUGCAACCGAUAAUUCAAUAAUGCAAACAAUGAAAAGAAAAUUGCAAAGGCUCAGUCUGGCUAGGACAAAGGAUGAAUAGAUCUAACUUUUGUUUUGUGGCUUUUUCUUGGACAAUAGGUAAGAAAAUAAAUCUAAUCUAGGAAAAACUGGAAAUUCUCACCGAGCAACCUGAAAACUGAUACCACUUGAUAGAGGCGGGGGUGUCCCGAUCUUUCGAUGAGAUGAUAACUAUCGAUUUGGUGGAGACGACUUUGACGAUCCGACUACAAACAUGCACGACGUUGCGCCUUAGCAAUCGCUAAACCAACUCCGAGAGGUUAUUGACCACGCCGGAGCACAAUCAACCUGACCACGAAGGUCUAUUCCUGCAAGCAAUCGAAGAACAAGCAAGAAUAUGAUAAAAGCAAUCUGAAUAUUGCGAGUAUAUAUGAAGUAUUGAUAAAGGUGGGGAUCCGUAAGCGGUCUUGGUCUGGUCGUUGGACACAAACGAAGUACACGAAGUUGCAAUGGCUAACUUUUAACUAAACAAAUCCCAAGGAAAAGCUACUAGAUGGAUCUACUUAUAUANNNNNNNNNNNNNNNNNNNNNNNNNNNNNNNNNNNNNNNNNNNNNNNNNNNNNNNNNNNNNNNNNNNNNNNNNNNNNNNNNNNNNNNNNNNNNNNNNNNNAGACAUAUGGAUAGAAGGAGGUUGCCAUGUUGUAAAAUACUCCCUCUGUCCCAAACAUAAGGACAUUUUUCAAGCUCGCAUAAUUUGAAAAACGUUUUUACAUUAUGGGACAGAGAGAGUAUAAAUUUACUGUGAUAGAGAGCAUAAAUUUACCAUGUAAAACAGUUCGUUAACAUAUGUAUAAAGCUGUCACAGGAAAACAAAAGUUUGUCAUGAUCUAGGAGAAAAGACACUACAAGUCGAAGAUUGCAUGUGUAUAAAUUCUUGCACACAAACAAGUUUCGGAAGUUCCCACAAUGUAGGGGAAUAAAUAGGAAAAAAAAUAGAAACAAUCAAAUGAGUUGCCAUGGUCACAUGGAAAUUGAGAUAUUUUCGACUACUAAACCAUGGUAAGAUUUACAAAUUUUGUUGAAAAGAUUAGUCAGACGUGAAAUUUAAGAAAUUUUGUUUUCUAAAAAAUGGUAAACUUGGAAAGGUUUGCAGUGUUAGCUUAAAAAUUGAGAUAAUUUUAAUUCCUAAAUCAUAGCAAGAUUUAGGAAAAAAUGUAAGAUAUUCACAUGGCAAAAUUUAAGAAAAUUUGUUCUCUAGAACAUGGUAAAGUUUGAAAUGUUUAUACUGAUCACAUGGCACAAAUUGUGUUUCCUAAAAUCAUGGCAACGAUUUAGGUUUUUUUAAUAGUCACAUGGCAAAUUAAGGGGGGAAAUGUUUCUCUAGAGCAUGGCAAAUUUUGAAAAUGUUGCAGUCAUCACAUGGCAAAUUUACAAAAGGGAAAAAAAUCCUGAGAUAAUGGAUAUCAUUAUACUUAGAAAAUUUGUAAAUAGUCACAUGGCCGUGCUAUAUUUUCUUGCAAUGCUUAAGCAGAUGGCAUUGGCCGUGCUAUAUUUUCUUGCAAUGCUUAACUAGAUGUCAUUCAUGGCCGUAAACCCUAACGGCCUGACCCACACCAACAUCAACUAGUCAUGCACCGUCCAAUGUGGCACAUGCUCUUCUGCUUGCCCAGAUGUCAUUCAUGGCCCUAAACCCUAAUCCACAACAACAUCGACUAUGCACCGACCAAUGUGGCACAUGCUCUUCUGCUUGCCAAGAUGUCAUUCAUGGCCCUAAACCUAACCCACACCAACAUAGACUAUGCACCGACCAAUGUGGCACAUGCUCUUUCUGCUUCCCCACACCCGAGGCCCUCAUCCUCGGCCGUGCAUCCCUCCUCCCAUGUCGUUCCUCGGAAAUACCUUGCCAUCGAUGAUGCCAACCAGCAACCAUUUGUUCAUGUACCAGUACGGCCGGGAGUUGUUUCUCUCUACCCAGUUCAAGAAAACAAUUUAAGAGCCCACGUUCUGAUUCAACAUCGACCUGAUUUAACAACGACUCACAUACAUUAGCAAGCUGACUCACGGGCCACAACGACACCUACUACAAGCUAGGACACCUGAAGAACACAUGGUCACUACUACAAGCUAAGACACCUAACGCACACAUGAUAACAGUACAUGCGAUCGCCUACAUGCGUGCUCUCGUCAUGCCAAGACCUGACCUUGACCUACAUUAUUCAUUACUACAAACAUGAGCAGACAGCUUGCUCACUACUAGCUAGCUACUCAGCUAGACACUGGGACAUCUUGACCUACAUUACUUAGGACUUGGUCUUGAACUUGGACUCAUCGAUCUCGAUGCCCUCCCUGGCGGCGCGCUCGCC
rnacentral:lncRNA from 1 species